UACUGGUCCCAUACCCAGUAAGUGAUCAGAUGCUUAUCACUUGACCAACAGUUAAGACACGAAUCAGGCCUUAACCAAAUUAAUCUAGCAGACAGAACUACAUCUCUAGCUUCUGUCCCUUUCCAUAUUCCAACUAUCCUUCAUAAGCAACAUGUAUGACUUAAGAGUUUUCCUUAAGGUCGAUAAACCAAGCAUGUAAGCAAGUAAGCAAUUCUAGACUUGGGUAGUUUCUAAGAUUUGAACAAGUGGCAAAGAUGUCCUUAAGUCAAGGCAUGAUCAUACACAAGAAUAGGUUUCAAUCAACUCCUAGACUUAGUGCAUACAAUAAGCAAAUAACCUAUAACUAGUCACAUG
rnacentral:lncRNA from 1 species